GACGUAGGGGGCCAGCGUUGUUCGGAAUUACUGGGUGGAAAGGGUUCGUAGGCGGUGUGGCAAGUCGGGAGUGAAAUCUCUGGGCUCAACUCAGAGACUGCUUCCGAAACUGCUGUGCUGGAGUGUGGGAGAGGCGCGUGGAAUUGCAGGUGUAGCGGUGAAAUGCGUAGAUAUCUGCAGGAACACCCGUGGCGAAAGCGGCGCGCUGGACCACUACUGACGCUGAGGAACGAAAGCUAGGGGAGCAAACAGG
rnacentral:rRNA from 1 species